rnacentral:rRNA from 1 species
AGAGUUUGAUCCUGGCUCAGGAUGAACGCUGGCGGCGUGCCUAAUACAUGCAAGUCGAGCGAACUGAUUAGAAGCUUGCUUCUAUGACGUUAGCGGCGGACGGGUGAGUAACACGUGGGCAACCUGCCUGUAAGACUGGGAUAACUUCGGGAAACCGAAGCUAAUACCGGAUAGGAUCUUCUCCUUCAUGGGAGAUGAUUGAAAGAUGGUUUCGGCUAUCACUUACAGAUGGGCCCGCGGUGCAUUAGCUAGUUGGUGAGGUAACGGCUCACCAAGGCAACGAUGCAUAGCCGACCUGAGAGGGUGAUCGGCCACACUGGGACUGAGACACGGCCCAGACUCCUACGGGAGGCAGCAGUAGGGAAUCUUCCGCAAUGGACGAAAGUCUGACGGAGCAACGCCGCGUGAGUGAUGAAGGCUUUCGGGUCGUAAAACUCUGUUGUUAGGGAAGAACAAGUACNAGAGUAACUGCUNGUACCUUGACGUACCUAACCAGAAAGCCACGGCUAACUACGUGCCAGCAGCCGCGGUAAUAC